GAGCCUUGCUGCAGCAAGCCUCCGGCUCACGGUCUCUCACUCAGGACCAAGAGACGUUGGUGUGCAGGAGAUUCUGUGCAUGUGUUUUUCAUUCCCUAGUGGAUUUGUUUCAAAGACAUUGUCAUCUGUGUAGAAGCUAGUUUCAAUAUCUGGUGUCUACCCCUUGCCGUGCUGGCAGGGCAUUGAGCGGCACCCAUUGCCGGCCACCUGGGUGCGGAGAUCGAGGAGGGUGAAGGGAGGAGCAACCCUGAGCAUCUGCCAUCCAGCUCCAUCCGAUCUAGAGCAAUUCCAGGAUGGAGCGAAUCAGGUGGAUGCUCAGGAGGAAGGCCGGGCAGGUGGCUCCAGAGUCGGCAGCAAACAUCAGCCAGCCUGCCCAGGAGGAGAGCGGCCCCUCUGUCCCCGCAGGCAGGGAAGAGGCUCGUGGCCAGGGGAAAGGGAGGAGCUGCGUCGCCUGCUGGAGGAGGAGGAAGACAGCAGCUCCCC